rnacentral:rRNA from 1 species
CCUACGGGUGGCAGCAGUGGGGAAUAUUGCACAAUGGGGGAAACCCUGAUGCAGCGACGCCGCGUGAGUGAAGAAGUAUUUCGGUAUGUAAAGCUCUAUCAGCAGGGAAGAAACUAACGGUACCUGAUUAAGAAGCCCCGGCUAACUACGUGCCAGCCGCCGAGGUAAUACGUAGGGGGCAAGCGUUAUCCGGAUUUACUGGGUGUAAAGGGAGCGUAGACGGCAGCACAAGUCUGGAGUGAAAUGCCGGGGCUUAACCCCGGAACUGCUUUGGAAACUGUGCAGCUAGAGUGCAGGAGAGGUAAGUGGAAUUCCUAGUGUAGCGGUGAAAUGCGUAGAUAUUAGGAGGAACACCAGUGGCGAAGGCAGCUUGCUGCAGCGGAACUGACGCUGAUGCUCGAAAGCGCGGGUAUCGAACAGGAUUAGAUACCCUGGUAGUC